rnacentral:rRNA from 1 species
GACGAACGCUGGCGGCGUGCUUAACACAUGCAAGUCGAACGGAAAGGCCCUGCUUUUGUGGGGUGCUCGAGUGGCGAACGGGUGAGUAACACGUGAGUAACCUGCCCUUGACUUUGGGAUAACUUCAGGAAACUGGGGCUAAUACCGGAUAGGAGCUCCUGCUGCAUGGUGGGGGUUGGAAAGUUUCGGCGGUUGGGGAUGGACUCGCGGCUUAUCAGCUUGUUGGUGGGGUAGUGGCUUACCAAGGCUUUGACGGGUAGCCGGCCUGAGAGGGUGACCGGCCACAUUGGGACUGAGAUACGGACCAGACUCCUACGGGAGGCAGCAGUGGGGAAUAUUGCACAAUGGGCGGAAGCCUGAUGCAGCAACGCCGCGUGCGGGAUGACGUCCUUCGGGUUGUAAACCGCUUUCGCCUGUGACGAAGCGUGAGUGACGGUAAUGGGUAAAGAAGCAACGGCUAACUACGUG